UACGGAGGAUCCAAGCGUUAUCCGGAAACAUUGGGUUUAAAGGGUCCGUAGGCGGUUUAGUAAGUCAGUGGGAAAGCCCAUCGCUCAACGGUGGAACGGCCAUUGAUACUGCUAAACUUGAAUUAUUAGGAAGUAACUAGAAUAUGUAGUGUAGCGGUGAAAUGCUUAGAGAUUACAUGGAAUACCAAUUGCGAAGGCAGGUUACUACUAAUGGAUUGACGCUGAUGGACGAAAGCGUGGGUAGCGAACAGG
rnacentral:rRNA from 1 species